rnacentral:rRNA from 1 species
UACGUAGGGUGCGAGCGUUGUCCGGAAUUACUGGGCGUAAAGAGCUCGUAGGUGGUUUGUCGCGUUGUUCGUGAAAUCUCACGGCUUAACUGUGAGCGUGCGGGCGAUACGGGCAGACUGGAGUACUGCAGGGGAGACUGGAAUUCCUGGUGUAGCGGUGAAAUGCGCAGAUAUCAGGAGGAACACCGGUGGCGAAGGCGGGUCUCUGGGCAACAACUGACGCUGAGGAGCGAAAGCGUGGGGAGCGAACAGG